UUUCCGUAGGUGAACCUGCGGAAGGAUCAUUAUUGAAUAAUCGCCCUUCGAGGUCUACCUCUCACCCGUUGGGUCUUACACCCUCGAGUGCCCUCACACACAUCCAUCUCUCCCCUAUGUUCAGCACGGCAGGGCUCCCCCUAGGGCUUGUUCCGCGGGGGGCUUACGUUUUCACACAAACUUUGUAUACAGUGUAGUAUGUAUUUUUUGUUUUUUCGAUCACGCAAUCAAUACAAAUUUCAACAACGGAACUCUUGCCUCUCGCAUCUAUAAAGACCC
rnacentral:misc_RNA from 1 species